UGCGUGACACUGUUGACACUAAAGUAGAUGACAGGACUGAGAGGAGAUUUAGCAUGUGCAUGCUUAAAAAUUACUGCCUUGUGAGGCGUGCUAACGAUGCAUUUUUAAUUGCAGGAGAUGAUCUUGGCCUACAGGUACCGUCCACAAAGCAAAUCAAUUCGGUUUAUUCCCAGGAGUGUUUAGAAAUAGAUUUUUUGCAUGGAUUCAACAUUAACAAAACCAAUCCUUUGGCAAAUAGAAUAUUUCGUCAGUGACCCGGAUGAAGGGAUGGAGCAUACCCUCGGCAAGUUUGCGGAUGAAGCAAAACUGGGAGGAGUGGCUGAUACCCCAGAGGCUGCGCUGCCAUCCAGUGAGACCUGGCCAGGCUGGAGAGCUGAGCCAAGAGGAACCUCAUGAAGUCCAACAAAGGCCAGUAGGUGACUUCUGAAUGAAUCAGAGAAAAUUACAAACCUUUGUCCUGCAGUGCAAGAAAGACACAGACAAAUUGGGAAGGGAAUCAGGGCAGUCUAAAAUGAAAUACUUCCAUCAAAGUCACCCUAGUCCUUGGAAUUUAUUGGUAUGUGAGUAAGUUGAGGCUGCGGUCGGGUGUGCACGAGGCAGCCAGCUGGGGCUGCAGCAGUCGAUCCCCCCCGGGAGCUGUCACACCGAGAUGGGUGAAGAAAAAGGUCCCCCUGGGACCUCCUGCGGUGACCUCCGAAUGGAACAGGAGGACUAGCUGUCAGCCCAGAUGCCUAAAGGCUUGUUUUGCUGAAGACCUGGCUGAAGACGCACAGAAGGGCUCAGCCCCUGCAUCCCACCGCUGCGCUCACAUGCACCAAGAGCCAAGAUGAUCUCUACAUCCCCAGCCACCCAAAUGAAGCCGUGUGCUGCUCCAGCUCACAGGGGAGCACUGCCUGUGGUGCCCAGGGAGCACGGUGGGAGCUGGUUCUUGAUGGGGACCACGAGGUUGGUUGGCUGGGGGUACCCCUGAUGGGUGCGAUUGGGAGCACAUCGGUUGUUUCGUACUGAGAUUACUUCCUAUGGUUCAUUGCUUGUGGCGACUUGGAAAAACCGAACUCUGGCAGAGGUAAGCUCAAUAAAUUAGAGUCAGGACCAGCUGCAAUGUUGGGUGUUGGGUGGGUUUUUUUGUUCUUUUUUUUUUUAAAAAAAAGCAUUGCUAAAAAUGUGGGAAUUGCAGGAAAAGACAUCUAUAUAGUCAACAUUUGAGGAAUUUAUUUACCUGCACUGGUGCCCACUGCAGGGGCAGGGCAUAGCAUCCCCCUCCCUGGCUGCAGCCCCAGGGGCUCUCUCUUGCCCCUUCCCCCCUUCCCUGCAGGAUGCCCUUCAGACCUGGCCACAAUCAACCAGUUUUAUCUCAGCAAGAAAAAAAAAAAAUAGUUUGCAGGGCACGGAAACGGAAACACACAUUUCCCAGCAGCAUCCUCUGUUCAGUGGUGUGGGUGAAGCAUCAGUGGCAUCCUCUGCCCCAAACAAAAUACCUGCAGGGCAUCCCAAAGAGAGCGAGGUGAGCUUCCUGGCCAAAGGGAUAUCAGGAGGCAGGGAUUCUCUCUCCUCUGGUGAAAAGAUCAGUGGGCUCUUUCAUUUUUUUUUUUUUCUUUACAGUUUUAUUUACAAAAUGUAUUAAAACUCUUUGUACAAUACCUCAUUAAAAUGAGGCUCAGUAAUUGAUGCCCACACAUGCAGUUUAU